rnacentral:lncRNA from 1 species
CACAGAAUUUAAAUUGGCAUUAGGAAUAGAUUUCCUUGAUUUAGUAUGAUAUUGUUCAUAGAAAUUGAUAAUGUGAAGAAUAACAAUACAGGAACAUAGAAUAACAAGAAAUUCUAGCAGCAAGUUAGGUUAUAAGAUAAAUUUUAUUUAUAUAGUUUGUUUAAAGAGUUUAGUUUGAAAAAAAGUUAAAACAAUUAUUAUUGUCCAGGUCAUAUUUGAUAACUGUUGUUAAUUGAUAACAUAUUACAGGGACACAGUAAAAAGACAAAACAUUUAGACCCUUUGAAAGAGAAAUAUUUGCAAUGGAUAUUAAUAAAUUCUAGCCAAUUUGUACGAUGUACAAUGCAGGCAAUAUUUCUGCCUCCUAAUGCACUAUUCGCUUAAAAGAAGAUGUGGGUAUUGUAUUUAUACCUAGAACAGAUUUAUUAUUAGUUGGCUAGUGUGUUAGUAGGAUAGCCAUUGGUAGUUAUAAAGUAUGAAGUCGUCAGGUAUUAAUAAUAGGAAUUGAUCAAAGCUUAUACAUUUAUUGUGAUAUUUAUAUUGUGAAUUUAAGUAGUUAGUUUUGGUUGUUUAAUAAACGAAUUAAUGUGC